rnacentral:tRNA from 1 species
UAACCUAGUGGUUAAGGCUCUGGAUCGCCAAUCCGGAGACGGCGGGUUCGAUUCCCGU